GCAGAAGAAGCAAUGGUCCCUCCAGGGAACGGAAGCCGUUGAACGUGAACAUUUGGAGUUUCCUCUUUUGUGCUGAUUCCUGAGGACUAGGAAGGUGCCCCGAAAAGAAUUCAGAGACCUGACAAUGUCCCUGUAUUGUGGAAUAGCUUGCAGGAGAAAAUUUUUUUGGUGCUAUAGGCUGCUAUCAACCUAUGUUACUAAGACACGGUAUUUAUUUGAACUGAAGGAAGAUGAUGACGCAUGUAAAAAAGCCCAGCAAACAGGAGCGUUUUACCUCUUUCAUAGUCUGGCUCCUCUGCUUCAGACUUCAGCACAUCAAUACCUGGCCCCCCGGCAUAGCCUGUUAGAGUUGGAAAGGCUCCUGGGUAAAUUUGGACAGGAUGCACAAAGAAUAGAAGAUUCUGUGCUGAUUGGAUGCUCUGAGCAGCAGGAAGCAUGGUUUGCUCUGGAUCUAGGUCUGGAUAGCUCCUUUUCCAUAAGUGCCUCCUUACACAAACCUGAAAUGGAGACAGAGCUCAAGGGGUCUUUCAUUGAGCUGAGAAAGGCACUCUUUCAACUCAAUGCAAGGGAUGCCUCCUUGCUGUCCACGGCUCAAGCUCUUCUCCGCUGGCAUGAUGCUCAUCAGUUCUGCAGCAGAAGUGGGCAGCCCACCAAGAAGAACGUGGCUGGCAGCAAGCGUGUGUGCCCUUCCAAUAAUAUCAUCUAUUAUCCACAGAUGGCUCCUGUGGUGAUCACGCUGGUGUCAGAUGGGACCCGAUGCCUGCUUGCCCGCCAAAGCUCCUUUCCCAAGGGAAUGUAUUCUGCCUUGGCAGGUUUUUGUGAUAUAGGUGAAAGUGUGGAAGAGACCAUCCGUCGAGAAGUUGCAGAAGAGGUGGGAUUGGAGGUGGAAAGCCUGCAGUACUAUGCAUCCCAGCAUUGGCCCUUCCCUAGUGGCUCACUCAUGAUUGCUUGCCAUGCAACUGUGAAACCAGGGCAGACAGAAGCUAGCAAUAUGCAUACUGUCUCAUGAUGCUGGAUACACAGUGGCAGCAAGCUGCAGUUGGCAAUGUGAUCACAAAGGCAAUCAACCAAUACUGUACUCUAUAGUAUAUUCAAUAAAUUACAUGACAUAUUCAACAGUUUAUUAUAAAAUAGCCUUUGUGUUAGAUGAUUUUGCCCAACUGUAUGCUAAUGUUUAUCAGGAAGUUACCCCACUGUAAGUCAAGGAACAUCUGUUUUGCCAAAAUGUUCUCCUAAGGGAUACAAUCAAUUUAUAUUCCUAUCAACAAUGUCUGAGAGUGUUUUUCUGUAUAUAUUCUCAACAACCCAGUAUGUAUUAUCAAGCCGUUUGAUACUUGCUAAUAAAUGAUGAAAAACACUAUUGUGAGGAAGAAUCAAUAUCGUAAAAACGGCCAUACUACCCAAGGUAAUUUAUAGAUUCAAUGCCAUCCCCACCAAGCUACCAAUGACUUUCUUCACAGAAUUGGAAAAAAACUACUUUAAAGUUCAUAUGCAACCAAAAAAGAGCCUGCAUUGCCAAGUCAAUCCUAAGCCAAAAGAACAAAGCUGGAGACAUCAUGCUACCUGACUUCAAACUAUACUGCAAGGCUACAGUAACCAAAACAGCAAGGUACUGGUACCAAAACAGAGAUAUAGACUAAUGGAACAGAACGGAGCUCUCAGAAAUAAUGCCACAUAUCUACAACUAUCUGGUCUUUGACAAACCUGACAAAAACAAGAAAUGGGGAAAGGAUUCCCUAUUUAAUAAAUGGUGCUGGAAAAACUGGCUAGCCAUAUGUAGAAAGCUGAAACUGGAUCCCUUCCUUAUACCUUAUACAAAAAUUAAUUCAAGAUGGAUUGAAGACUUAAAUGUUAGACCUAAAACCAUAAAAACCCUAGAAGAAAACCUAGGCAGUACCAUUCAGGACAUAGGCAUCGGCAAGGACUUCAUGUCUAAAACACCAAAAGCAAUGGCAACAAAAGCCAAAAUUGACAAAUGGGAUCUAAUUAAACUCAAGAGCUUCUGCACAGCAAAAGAAACUACCAUCAGGGUGAACAGGCAACCUACAAAAUGGGAGAAAAUUUUUGCAAUCUACUUAUCUAACAAAGGGCUAAUAUCCAGAAUCUACAAAGAACUUAAACAAAUUUACAAGAAAAAAACAAACAACCCCAUCAACAAGUGGGCGAAGGACAUGAACAGACACUUCUCAAAAGAAGACAGUUAUGCAGCCAAAAUGCUCAUCAUCACUCGCCAUCAGAGAAAUGCAAAUCAAAACCACAAUGAGAUGGUAAUCUCACACCAGUUAGAAUGGCGAUCAUUAAAAAGUCAGAGAACAACAGGUGCUGGAGAGGAUGUGGAGAAAUAGGAACACUUUUACACUGUUGGUGGGACUGUAAACUAGUUCAACCAUUGUGGAAGUCAGUGUGGCGAUUCCUCAGGGAUCUAGAACUAGAAAUACCAUUUGACCCAGCCAUCCCAUUACUGGGUAUAUGCCCAAAGGAUUAUAAAUCAUGCUGCUAUAAAGACACAUGCACACGUAUGUUCACUGUGGCACUAUUCACAAUAGCAAAGACUUGGAACCAACCCAAAUGUCCAACAAUGAUAGACUGGAUUAAGAAGAUGUGGCACAUAUACACCAUGGAAUACUAUGCAGCCAUAAAAAAUGAUGAGUUCAUGUCCUUUGUAGGGACAUGGAUGAAGCUGGAAACCAUCACUCUCAGCAAACUAUUGCAAGGACAAAAAACCAAACACCGCAUGUUCUCACUCAUAGGUGGGGAAUUGAACAAUGAGAACACACGGACACAGGAAGGCGAACAUCACACACCGGGGCCUGUUGUGGGGUGGGGGGAGUGGGGAGGGACAGCAUUAGGAGAUAUAUCUAAUAUAAAUGACGAGUUAAUGGGUGCAGCACACCGACAUGGCGCGUGUAUACAUAUGUAACAAACCUGCACGUUGUGCACAUGUACCCUAAAACUUAAAGCACAAUAAUAAAAAGAAAAUCUAGACAUUCCUAUCAAUGUCUAGAUUGUAACAUUUUUGAAAGCAAACAAAAAAAAAAAAAAGAAAAACACUAUUUUGUAGCUU